rnacentral:lncRNA from 1 species
GAAAUGGCAGACUGGAAUAUUCCCUGGUUUCAGCUUCAGCAACUGAAAAGCCAAGUGUUUCGGGUUCCACGCCGUCGUAUCCUGGUGGCAAACCGCCACAGCUUCCACCUUAGCGCCACUUUCCCCCAACAUCGCCACCUUGUAAGCCACGGUGGAUUCUGUCUUGUGGCAGUAAAAAACAACAUAUGCAUACUUUUGCUUGUGGCAAGCAACUACUUUUCGCCCGACAUUUUCUUGACCUUAACAAUUUUGUACUUCUGCAAUGGAGUUUCAUUCUCUGUCUCUAAAGAAACAGCCUCGAUUUUUGAUCCCAACUUGGAGGUGCUGAAAUCCACCAUGGAUUCCAAUGAAGUAGCACAGUAUUUUUCUUCUCCUUUUAUCCCUGCCUCUUCGCAUUCUUGAAGUGUUUUCUUCAUGAUUUUUGCCUUUUUCGAACUGGGAUUUACUGAAAAUCUGUUCAGAAUUUCUAGGAACUUUCCUGAAGAAAAUGGAAUUGAAUCAGCUACUCGACGCGGCAAUAAACUGCCCUGAUCGUAUGCACUCAUGAAAAAGUGCAAUUUCAUAUUAUUUCCUUUAUAAAGAUCCUUUUCCAGAAAGAAUAGGGUUACGUUUUGAUUAUCACGCAGUUGAUUUUCGUCAGCUCCAUGGUGGUAGAUGAUGGGAAAUGCAUCUGGUGUGACUCCAACAUAGACUGAUUUGCCUGAAAAUUGGUUGAAUUUGAACUUAUUUUACUUCAGAAAAGAAGAAAAAUGUCCUUCUAAAUCCACUUCAAUUACAUGAUAGAACAUUGAAAAGAUUCUUGAAAUGGAUCAGUUCACCCUCAACUGGAAUUGGUUUUACCCAUUCAUGUUUUGAAAAAGAAAAAUAAAGCCUUUUUAUUUAUUUAUUUGGUGUUUUGCCCGAAUUAGUUUUUCAAAGCACUGAUCUACACACAAGAUUGUGAGUUCAAGACAAACCAGGAUGGAAAAGAUCCUUCACAGCUUUAGGCAUGGAAGAGUUAGGCAGCACAGAUCUCCAGUAGUCUUCCUGUGAAGGUAAAGCUUCAUGGCUUGCCACUAAUGCCACCUGAAACAAAUGCACAAAUCAUACACUAACUUCUUCAUUGUGAACACAGAAAGAAGUAUAAAAAUAAAAAUUACUCACAGAAAGAAUUAAAAAUAUAUGCUGAAACUUGAACUUCAUUGGAUCUCGGAUAGAGCUGCAAUACGUAAAGAAAAUGGAGUAAUUGGAACUGAAAACAAAGAAGGUUGGAUUUAAAUUUUAAAGGAAGAAAAAAUGAUUUAUUGCAGCAUUAAUAUUUUUAACAAUAAUAAACUUUUGAUUUAAUGUAUGAUCCAAAAGAUUUUAUUACUUUAACUGUAUUUGACUUACACGAAUUCAAUGACGUGUCAAUCCCAAGUAUUGAUGAGGUUGCAUUUGCUAUGAGUAUGAUAUUUAGCUACUGGAGUUACAACUCUAGUCUAAGUUACAUUACUGUGACAUUAAAUGAUAGGUGAAAUUAAAUAAGUAAUUUAAUUUUAAAUUUCAUUUAGUCUAUCAUCUAACGUCACCUAGAUUAGGGUUGUAACCCUAGUGGAGCUACAUAUCAUCAUUCAUUUAUUAUUCGUUGAGGAGAGGAAAAAACCACUUGACCUUUAUUGGGUGUGCAUGCUAUUCUUGUUGAAGUAUUUUUGGGUAUUUUGGUAUGUUUAAAAGAUUUUUUAGCCCCCACUACACAAAUAUUAUUUGGAAAAAAUAAAGUUUGAACAAUGACUUUUAGGAGAAUGUGUAAUUAAAAAGUAGGAAAAGAAUUAGGGCAUAUAUGUAAAAUAUUUUAUUAUGUCAAUGUGUUGAAAGUAAUGAUUGUCAAACAGGAGCUUAGAUUAGUUCUAACUUUAUCCAACUGACCUCUUUAGUUGUAAUAAUUGGAAUUCGGCUUUGUCUGUAAGUUAGCAAGAUGUUUCUUAACUAGAAUUUUAAUGAAUUUUAAAUGGGCGUCCUCAAUUGAAAGUUUGAUAGAUAUUAAAAGAGGUUGGUUAUAUCCACAUAAUAAUUUUUAUUUAUUAAACCACAUUUUAAUUGUAGUCAAGCACAUCAAUUUUUGCUCAUUAUAACAAUUAUGUUCUUAACAUUUUUCCGUCAAAUUCUUAUAUUCAAUUUUCCAUUGAUUAGUAUGUUUCGUCCUUAAUUAUAUCAAAAUAUUUUACUUUCAUGCUUUGAAAUGUGGAAAAAAUACUUUUUUGCACUUUUUAUUUAUUUUUCUAAAAAAUAUGAUAGAAAAAUAAAGUUGUUUUAUGCCAUUUCAACUAACUUUUAGACAUAAAACUAUUAUCAAAUAAGAAAUGUGUUAGUAAUAAAAAGUUUAAAGAUAAUAUUGAUAUAAAAAAUUGUUAAAGACAUAAGUGCUAUAAUGAACAAAUAUUAAGAACUUUAAGUGCAACUAAAAUGUGGUGUAAGAAAUAAAAUUUUUAUUGAAUAUAAUCACACUUUAAAAAUUAUAAAUUCUAAUAAAUUUCGUAAAUUUAAGUAGAUUUCCAAAAAAAUCAUAAGAUCUCAUUUGACACGGUGAAUAUCAUUCUGGUAUCAUUAGACACGGUGAAAAUCAUAAGCUAGAAAGUGUGUAUCCAUUGGAUAUUCUUUUGGGAUGAAUGGAUAUAUCAUUCUGGUAUCAAAGAAGAUAGAUUACUAGACCUAGAUACUAAGAAAGUUUUCAUUUCUUGAAACAUUGUCUUCUAUGAAACCCAUACAAUCAUAACUCAAUAAAGCAAAUAAACUAAAGUUCUGGGUUCGAUCCAAAAAUAAUAAACCAAGCAACUAAUAAAUCGCCGAUAAUAUGUUGACCUCUUGAUCAUAAAACUUGAGAAUCUCACCCAGAUUGUUUGAAGCUCAACUCAAUAAAUUAUUAAACCAAAGAACCAAGACAAUUACAAAAUAAUAUCUUGACCCUGUGAUCAUAAUACUUACAAAUCUUACUUGAAUUGUUGAAUGCCACAAAGAGUAUGAAUCUUUGAUAAGUUCGGAUAGUUUGAACGCCACAAAUAUUAAAAAUAUUUGAUAAGUUCUGCUCAAUUAAGAACAAAAUAAAAAGUGAAAAAUUUCACAUUAUAAUUAAUUCUCAAAAAAUUUAUGUCUUUAUUGUACAAUGAAUGUGUCUAGCAUAAAAUAAACUCCUAAUUAAAAUAAAACUCUAAUUUUAAAGACAUAUCCAAAUAAACUAGAAAAAUAUAAAUAAAUUUGAAUGAAUUAAUACUACAAAUAACGAAAAUUAAACUAAUUCAAAAUAUAAAAACGCAAAAAUAGACCCCUAAACAACCUUCUGUAUAAUCAAAAGACUUUUUCAAAUUGGAUCAUGGACGAAAAUCCGACAACCAAGCUGAAAGUUAUAUGCAUUUUUGUACAUCUUGUGCAUUUUCACACAUACUUCAUAUUUCUUUCAUUUUCUAAUUAGUUUAGGAUCUUCUCUUCUAAUUGAUCUAUAUCACUCUGGAACAUGCAAUAGGGCCUCGUUAGUUUGCCCUCUAUGAUUCUCAUCAACAAAGCUGUUUUUCUUCUAAAAAAUGACAAUACCAACAACUUUGUCAUUUUAUUAAAUCCAAGUGAACUUACUUUUACCCUAGAUCCUAGUAUUUCAUUUCCAACCCUCUAGUUCAUAAUGAUCCUAUUCCUAUAGAUAAUCAAAACAUUAUUUUAAGAACCAAUAAUAACAGAACCAUUGAUUCACAUGCAAAUGAGAUGGUUGGCUCUACUGACCAAUCAACACAUGAUCCAGAAAAUGACCAAGAAAUUCCCGUGCAUCGGCCCUAAAGAUCAACUAGAAUAAGGAAAGCUCUAGCACACUUACAAAACUUCGUAUGCAAGACGGCCCCUUCACUUCUCCUACCUCAUAAGUUAGACGAGCAGAAAGUCCAAAUUUAGUCAGGUAAUUCAUUUUCUCUCAGUUAUGCAUCCUACAAUAAGUCGUCAUCACCAUACAAAGCAUUUAUGUCUUCAAUAACUUUUCGAGGAGAACCUAAGGACUAUCUAGAACCUAGAACAUUCCUUGAAUAAAGAACAUCAAUGAAAGCUGAGAUUGAGCUCUUGAGUUGAAUGAUACACGGAUAUUUGUUGAUUUACCUAUUGAUAAAGAAUCAAUAGGCUGCAAACAGAUUUAUAAAAUUCAAUUUAAUGUUGAUGGGAGUACAAAGUGGUACAAUGCGAGGCUUGUAGCAAAAAUGGUUACUACGAGGACAUUAUUGGCUAUUGUAGCAGUGAAAGGAUAAUUUCAACAUCAAUUUAAUGUCAAUAAUGCUUUCUUAUAUGAAGACUUAGAGGAGAAAGUGUACAUAGAGCUACCACCAAGAUAUCCUAAUAAGAAUGGAGGAAAAUUGUGUAAGCUUAACAAAAGCUUAUAUGGACUUAAGCGGGCUUCAUGCAAACGGUACUCAAAACUUUCUAGUUUUAUCAUUCAAUGGGGCCAUUCUCAAUAUAAGACAGAUUAUAGUUUAUAAACAAGGUCAACACAUAUUUCUUUUACAACAAUUUUAGUAUAUGCAGAUCACAUAAUAGUUGCUAGAAAUUGUGUGGAGACAGUCAAUCAGCUGGAGUAUUUAUUUGACGACAAGUUCAAAAUCAAAGACCUUGGCUACCUCAAGUACUUCCUUGGAAUUGAGGUGACAAAGCCAGCGAAAGACAUUUAUUUAUGCCAACAGAAGUAUGCAUUGGAAAUUCGUGCAAAUUCGAACACUACUGGGUCAGCUCCAGCCAAAAUUUCUUUAGAUCAAAAUGUCAGAUUGUCCAAAGAAGAAUGAGAGAUCAUUGUAGAACCUUCUCUUUAUAUGAUGUUGAUUGAUAGGCUUUUGUAUCUCGUGAUAAUAGGACCUGAAUUGGCAUGUUCAGUUCAAAUGUUGUGUCAAUUUACGGACAAUUCCUAGUUACCACACUGAAAGAGCGCCAUGGCAAGGAUUUUUCUAUCUAGCAAAUACAGAAAUUCAAUGCAAAGGCUUUAGCGACUUAUACCGGAGGCAUGUCCAGACACAAGAAGGUCUGUCACAUGUUACUAUAUGUUCAUAGGAUGCCCCUUAGUAUCUUGGAAAUCAAAGAAGGAAACUGUAGUCUCUAAUCCUCCACAGAAGCAAAGAAUGGAGCCAUGAUUAAUAUUUGUUGCGAGUUGACUUGGCUCGGGUAUUUGUACAAAGACCUACCAAUUUGAUAUCCAUAGGCUGCUCUUUUAUAUUGUGACAACAAGCAAGCAUUACAUAUUGCCACAAAUCCUGUAUUCUACGAGAAAACUAAGCACAUAGAAAUUGAUUGUUACUUAAUUCGGGAUAAGAUUCAAGGAGAGAGCAUAUUGAGAAAACAUGUCACUAGUAGUUCACAAUGUGGUAGACAUCUUCAUUAAGAGCCUAGACUUACGCCCCACGUGGUUGCGUUCGACCCGUCUCGGUAGCGGCCGCAAAACAGCGUGGAGAGCAUGCUGCAGCAAUACAGAAUGCAGGCUGCCUAAAAUUGUGCAGUGUUCCAGGGUGUUAAUGAGGUUUUUCUAAGUCCCUACCCAGCCAUUUCGAGAGGAAAAAUACAUAAACCUGCAGCGGGAUAUUUUGGGAUGCAAGUAGGCAACUUGCACAACUUGUCCACUUGUGCCACUUGCAAGAUAUUAUCAAAAAUACAAGCUAAGCGCGAGUUGACAAAGAUAUUAUCAAAGGUGCAAGCUAAGCACGAGUUGGCAAGAAUAAUAUCAACUAUGCAAGCUAAGAUCGAGUUGGCAACAACUUGCAAGGAAAGUUGUAAGUUUAUCCACUUGACGACAACUAAGCAUGAGUUGUAAACAACUAGCACGAGUUUUGACCAACUAAGCAUAGGUUGUAAAGUAAUGCAACUUGAUCUUAAGGAAGUUUAAGUUUUGCCUAUAAAUAGAGAUGGAAGUCUCAUUUGUAAAUCAUGUAGAGUUGAGUGAGUUUAUUCAUUAGAGAGAUUGUAAAGUUUUCCCUUUCAUUUAUACAAAGAAAGUUUACCGGCCUUACUUAUUUUUCAUAUAGCCCUUACUUCAAAAAUCUCUUCUCAACGUGGGUAUAAUUUAGCCUCCUUGGUUAAAUUAUUUGUGAGCGUGAAAAGAUUGACUUAACGUUUUCUCGUGAGGUGCGGGAAUUGUCAAGCGUUAAGGUCGCAUGAUUUUAGCUGUUCGGGUGUAACAAAACUAGGUCCAUGACACUAGGCUCUCAAAGCCUUUAUUCGUUAAUGUGCAAGAUGGGGGUAGCAGACAUCUAAACUCCAUAUUGUAGGGGUUUGUUAAAGAAUGAAAGAGAAGUUGAAUUAAAGAAUAUUUGCCAACAGACCUGUAAGUAACAAAUUGGAAAAGCAGCUGAUGACAAAUCAUGGAAAGUCAAGAGAGAUCUAGUGAAGAAGAAAACAAAGCUUUCAGAUGUAGGCUAAAAGGAAUAUGCUGUUGGUUAGAGAAAGUUGUUGUGUAUCUAAGGAAUUGAUUAGCUGAAAAUUGUUGUACAAAUUAAAUUCAAUUUUAUGUGUUUUUUGUUCAAAUUUGUUAGAUUUGAUUUCUAUUUCUAUACUUUAGCAAAUUUACAGAAAUUUAGAAAGAGGAAUAAAAAUUAAUUUAUAAUUAAAGUUAUCCGUUGUUUUUUCCAAAAUUAAUUCCGGCAUUUGCUAGUCUUGCAGUAACUCACAUUCAAAAUAUUUUAAUCCACAUCUCCUGCCAUUGUAUCUGGAAACUUUGUAUGAGCUACUCAUUAUCUCUCAAAUACAUGAUAACCUACGAAAUAGAGCAUGGAGAAAGAAAGGUGAAAAGGGGAAAUAAGGCUAAGGAGAAAGUGCUAGGGAUGCAAGGGUAAGGGUUAGAAAGGACACAAUAUUCUAAGUAAAAUUACUUGGAAAAUGAUAGUCUGCCAGGGUCAUUUGCACAGACCCUAGCCAAACUAUCUCUCAAACAAGGGGACCCACACCCAUUUUUUAAGGAAAAAAAUAAAAUAAAAUGCCCACCCUCUCAUAGUCUGGUCAGGGUCUGUGCAAAUGACCCUGACAGACUAAUAUAUCCCAAAUUACUUUUGAUAAUAGUACAUACUUGAUGUCCAAAUGUCCUUAAAUUAGACAUGUCAAAAUGGGUAGACUUCUUGGCUUGGCUAAGCCUACCCACAAAUGGAUAGGCCCAAGAAUUGACCGAUAAUCGAAUUGGGUUGGUUCAUGAGUUGCCUGCCAAUAAUAUUGGGUCGGUCCAAUUUUUGUACAAAGGCCAGACGGUUAACCACUAGACCCAUGUAAAAAUAAUAUGCAACAUACCAAAAAAAAGGUUAAAGAAGAGAGAAAUUCCUCCCUCCGCAUAGAAACUUCUUGCUUUAAAUGGCGUAUCAAUGACAACUAUUAUUAAAUGAGAUUUGACAAGUCUAAACUGGUAGGCUUGUCAAUCAAAUGAUUUUUUAGUAAUGAGAUUUGACAAGUCAAAUAAUUCAUUUUUUUAUUGAGAAACAAAAUCAAUUAAAGUCAGGAACUUGUGAUUUGCUUUCUUUCUUGCCAUUGUUAAAUUAUGACAAUUGUUAGAUGAUCAAUUUUUGAAUUUAUAUAUGGACCGCGCUAGGCGUAAAGGGUGAGUCCUACAAGUGUUUUACAGGGAAUAAAAAAAAAGAAAAAUAAAUAAGGAUCUUGCACUCUUUCUUUCGUCCUUCUCCCCAAUACCCAACAAUCCCCAAUUUCAAAACCUACCUCUCCAAAAUCCUCUCUUCACUUUAGAAUUCCAUCCGAACACCGGUACAUUAAUCUCCACCUCCGACAGCCCCCAAACAGCCGCCCUCAUCAGGUUGUGUUUCCUCAAAUGAGUGCGUCUCCAAGUGCAUCUUCGAAGCGAUGUUGAAAAUUGUCGAUUAAGCCGAUUUCGCCACCAUCAUAGUUCAUAAAGAUAGAGGUAAAUUCGGCCUCCUUCGUCACAGGCUGCAGGCAUUUGCAAUCCCUAAACACUUGCCCAUUCCUUGAAAAGCAUCGAACAGGCCGACACUUCCCUCGAAUUCCUCUGCCACUAAAUGAGCUUGGUGACCCAAACAAUACAACCACCAUCAUCUAAUCCCAAUCAGGUAGUAGUUUAACUUCAUGUUCAUGUUCUCAUUUCCAUGGUUCUUUUGGAAAAUGAAAUAUGUCGUUGUGCGGCCCUACAUCUACUUGUUUAUGACAUUGCGAUCCGGUUGGCCCAAUUCCUAUUUCACAGUAGUAUAUGCUUUGUAAUUUAUACAUUAUUUAUGUAAUUAAGAUUCCCCAUUUCACAGUAGUUAGUUUGUCAACAUGAAAACCGAUUGAUUGUAUGCGGCUGAUUUGUAUACUAGAAUGCCAGGGAAGAAUUCAGGUGUAUGCCAUAGUUACAGAGGCAGGGGACACUUCUUUGCUGAAUGCCCGAUCAAAGUGCGAUGUCCGUUGUGUAAGCAUGGAUAUCAAAAAUGCUUUGAAGUAGAGAAGAAGACUUGUAAUAAAGGUAGAUUAUUCAAGUGUUGCAGUGAAAAAUGUGAAAAAUGUGGAUUUUGGGAUUGGUAUGAAGAAAGUCAAGAACGACGUGAAUGUAGUAGCAUUAGUGCUACCUCAAUUAACCCUACGAUGAUGGAAGCAGUUGAAGAUAUGACCCGCACGUUCCAAUCUCAAGUGAGGCUAAAUAAUGACGAGGAGCUCCAUAUUUCGGUGAACGUGACAAUUCGUAAGGAAAAAUCUGGUGCGACUGGGAAUGUAAAAGGGAAAGGGCCUGCUUGAUUGGUGUUGAGUUUGUUUAUCUACUACGAAGAAACAGUAGUUUGGAACUUUAUAUUUGCUAGUGAUAGUAGCUCACAACUAUGUAUCGUGUUUUGUGGUUUGUAACGUUUGUGAACUAAUGAACUUGAAUGUUAAGUUCUUCAAUGAGUUGAAGUUGCACAAGUAGUUCUUUGUUUUGACCCAACACUCCUGGUUUUGCUAAGUAUUCUCUUCCAUUCAAAGCAGUAAUUGGUAAUUGGUUUUGGUAUUUGUUAACUGCUGUCUUGAGGUUAAAAUAAAGUAGUGUUCUGCCUCUCUUUCACAUGUACGAUAGAGGUUAAAACCACACUGAUAAUGCUAGAAUGUAAACUUGCCAAGUGAUGAUCUGAUCACAAGUUAGAUUUUUUACAUUUUGUGAAAAGAACGAUAAUUGAUGAUAGACAAAAUGAAGUAAUGAACCCAGAAUUUCAAAAAUCGAAAAAAAAAAUAAUCAAUUAUCUCGGACAUGUGAAAUUAAUGGAACUAAAAUUGCCUCCAUAGGAGCAAGGUAGUAUACAAUUAAAUUAGUGAUUCCAAAACACAGUAUGCUAAACUGAAAAACUGGAAAUGUUACUACUUGUUCAUCUUUAUGCUUUUCUUUAAAUUCCAAUGGCUAGAUGAUAUAUAGCUCCGAGUGCAAGAAAUGUUAUUGCUUGGAAAGUGCUGGAGACAGAUUUGACUAGCUUCAACAACGAACUGGGCAAGCAGUUUUAAACAAAAAUGGCAUCCACAAACUUCAUGCUUUCAUGGCGAAGAAAGGGCAAGCUGGAUUGAACAAAAAAUGGGAUCUACCAAAAAAUGGCCUAUUACAAAUUGGCAAACUUUUCUAAAUUUCUUGUGAAAUUAACAAAUUCCUUUAUGGCAAUUCAAAGGUGGAAACUUAACCUUUUCACAAGCCCCUGCCACCAUCUUCUGGUAAAGUUGGAUAGUAGAACGAUAUUCCAUGAUCUUCCAUAUAUAACGAAUAUUAAGACAAGACAACGAAAUAAAAAGAUAACGAAUUGUAAUGAUUUCGACAAUUAUUUACCUCGUGAAUUAGUGCUACUAUCAUGCGGCGAUGGAGACAUAAAGCUGGAAGGCGGGUAUUCUUGGAUAAACAUAUGAUUUUCAGCAUCACCCUACAUAUAAUCAUAAAAUAAAUAUAACAUAAACUUCCGUCAUAACAGAGAAUUGAAAAUACUAACCAACAACAUUUGUGAAUAUAAGAAUGUGGGCGGUACAGAAUAGCUAAGUUGUGAUGGUUCUUCAACUUGGGGUGGUACCACCGGCAUGUUAGUAUGCGUCACCCUCGAUGCGUUUCCCUUGCUUGAAGUCAAACUUCUCUACAUUUAUAUCAAACAUAUAUGAGAAUUUGAAAUUGGACUCCAUUUCAAUGGUGAGGUUGACAAACAAAAGUACCUUUGUUUUCUUCGACCUCGACUCCAAUGACCCUUUCGCACGAAGCUUUUUUGGUACACCCUUUCUCUUCACCAAUAUAGGAUCCCUUACACUUUCGCAAUCAAUGGGCUGAGAAUCCGUGCAUUGAGAGGAUAAGUUAAAAGCAGUUAGCGACCCAACAUUACUUUCGCUACUCAACUUGCUAAGCGUAAGCUCUUUAUAUUGACAUUUUAUCUAGUCCAUUAUUGCGCGUGACCACCCUUCAUCAUCUGCAGUGAGAUCCGACACCUGCGAAAAAGCUUGACACAUUUCCUCGUAUCUCAACUGUGCCGGAGUACUAACCAAGCCAUCGUAGUUUACUGCCACUCUUGUGUGUGGUCUACUAACAUCUCUCCUCCACCUUCGUAGUAUAUACCUCUCGGGUAUUGAUCUCACGUCGUUACGGAUUAAGACUGCGAUUGCAUGCCUGCAUAAUAUCCCUCGAAACUUAAAUAAAUGGCAGCUGCAAACUAUUUCACAACUAUCCCUCCUAAAAGCGACGAAGAACUUUUUUUCCUUCCUUUGGUGGUCAUACAACACAUCCUCCAGAACUCCGUACCUUAUCCCUAAACUCCCCUCUAAAGCAGCUAUGAGAUCGCAAUAUACCUUCCCUGUGAACUCAUCUUGCACUUCUCGAAACUUCGAAAUUGUGUACACCAACUGAAAUUGUUUUUCCAUUUCAUAAUUUGUUGCACAUGGUACCAUCUGCGAGUAUGACUUGAAAUCUACAUAGUACUCCUUCUCAACCUUACUUCUCAGUGCUCGUUCAUAUUGUUCAACAAACUGUUUAAGCGAGGUCUUCGAAUGUACAUAUCCAUCGAAGAAGGUAUUCGUACUUUCACUUCACUGAGUCAUGGACAUACUAGCCCAGAAAGUGAUUUUCAAAAAACAUGGAACCCAACGACUUCUAUUAUUAUAAAGUCCAGCCAACCAAUCAUUCUCAUACAACUCGUAUAAGUCAACCAUCAAUGCUCAACCUUCUUCAAAUUCUUCAUCAGUCUGCGAAUCAUACACCAAUCUAUGUAUAGCCGAAAAUAUGUUUCCCUUAUCAACAUGAUACCCAAACUUCUCCAGCAAUUUCUUGAAAAUAUGCCAUAAACACCAUCUAUGCUUGGUGGUCGGAAAAACAAUUUUAAUUGCAUUUUGCAUAGCACUAUCUUGGUCUAUAAUAAUUCCAUGGGGGCUUGACCUUGCAUGCACUCAAGCCAUGUACUGAAUAGCAAAACAAAUGUAUCUGUGUCCUCAUUUGAUAACAGACCACAACCCAGCAGUGUUGAUUGACCAUGAUGGUUAACUCCAACAAAAGGAGCGAAAGACAUGUCAUAUUUAUUGGUAAGGUAGGUGGUGUCAAAGGUGACAACAUCACCGAAGUCCUUGCAUGCCUGCUACAUCUAUUAUCAGUCCAAAAUACAUUCUUCAAUCGCGACUCAUCAUCUAAAUCGAUACUGAAGUAAAAUCCAUGACAACGUGCUUGCAUUUUCGAAAAAUAAGAUUGUAUUGCGGCUGCAUCACCCUCUCCGAGUCAUAAUUAUCUCACUUGCUCAAUAUAAUUUCGGCAAUCCUUUUCCACACAAGGCAAAUUCUCAUAUCCACCAGCUUUGAUGACUGCGCAAUUGAAACUUUUAUGCAACGAAAUCCCGGCCAUGUCAUUAACUUCAAGCUUUCUUUUCACAUAUGCUGGCAAUUUUCGAUUGCAACGGUAAAACCUGAAUUUUGAAGGGCUUGUUGUAUGAUUGUGCUUAAGGUGGACUGUGUUGAUCCUCCAAGUUCCAUUAUCAUCCGAAGAAGCAGAGAUUCUAGCUUUACAAUCCGUUUGCAUUGUUGGUUGAGGCUUCAAUGAACCAACAACAUUAGUGCUUUUUUGACCUUCAUGACAACAUGUAAAUGUCACAUAUCUUAGAACUCCAUCCUCCCCUCUUUUCAAAUUCCUCUUCCGAACUGGAAAGCCUACGUCGUAUGUAUGUCUUUUAUAGAACUCAAACAUUGCUUUUUCAUCUGUGAAUUGCAUACCCACCUCACGAUAACAUUGAUAAUACCUUCAUAUGAAAAUGGGCAAAAAACAAACACAAGGAUACAUAUUACUGCAGCCAAAGAGACAGGUUGGGCCUUGGACAUUUCAACAUAAUAAAAGCAAUUCAAUUGGUUAUUAUUCUUCACGUUACACUUGGUUUCUAAGUUGAAAAACAUAAAUCACUCAGACUUAGCAAUCUCAUUUUGUGAUUAGUUUCUUCGUCUACCUUGUAGCUUUAGGAUUUAUAAUAUUCAAAGUGUUUUUGAGCCAUGAGUAUAGAAAAUGGGCAAAGAAGCCAUGAGUAAUUGUAAUAAAGAUUGAGCUUACUGCAUUAACCAACUAGUCGUGUCUUCAACCUUCCGGCAACGUUCGCACUUGGACACUUCUUUUAUUCUACAACAUGGGGUGCAAGAUAGCUGGUCGAUUGACGCUGGAGGUGGAGAAGAUGGCUGGUCGGGCGAUGGCAGGUGGAGAAGAUGUCUGGUCGAGCAGGCAGGCCGAAUUUCAAGCUUCGACGAAAGAAAGGGGAUACUGAACUGAGCUUGCGUUUUGACGAAUUUCACGCUUGGACGAACAGGGGUACUAAGCUUGCUAUUUUGGGGGGAACUAAGGUGGACUGCAACUCAUUUCCCUCCAUUGCCGAUUGUUUCUUAUUUGUUUAUUGACCACACGUGUGAGUCAUUUUUUAAAAAUUACUUGUAAACGCCCUAGCAAAGCAUUCUGUACGCUGGGCUUUAUCCUUUAUAUAUAAAGGUGUUGUCAUUCAUAUUAGAUAUUAUAAUCAAAGUUCACUUCACUUUUUAAUACACUUUCUUGCCUUUCAACUUCCUAUGUACAUUAUUAUUUUUGAAAAUUUUCAGAAUUAUUCUUUACCAUCUUUUACAGUUUGUUGAUAUAAUUUUCUAUAUUUUUAAUAUUCUUUUCAGUUAUUAAUUAUUACAAUGUUGAUUUUUUUAUUAAUUAUACAUAGUCCAUAAAUAUUUCUCUUUUCUUUUAUCAAUAUUUUUAAAUUAUGGAAUCACACCGUUUUCCUACUGAUGAUUUCAAUUUAAGAAAUAGUGGCUCUCCAAUAAAUUUGGAGGAUGAUGCUACAAAUAUUGCCAUUGUUUGAGCCCCAUUUUUUCAUUAAAACACAUUCUUCAAUAGUGAUUUGACAUCAUUUCAACCACAUAUUUUUCAAUAAAAUAAUAUUACACGCAUUCCCAUAACUAUUCAUUAUUUUUUAACCACACAUUAUCCAUUAUAACACUACUUCAAAAUGCAUUUUUCUAGAAAAAUGUGGCUCAAAUAACCCCAUUGGAUAAACAAACAUCGAAUGUUUAAAAAAAAUUACAGUAUAUGCAACUCGUGGAAAAGCAAUAUGUAAUAUUUGUUUAAAGGCUUACGCAUGGUUAAAGGGUCAAGGCACUGGUGGGUUGCGACGACAUAAAAAUUCUCAUCUUAACUAAACAGGACAUUUAGAUCCUAGACUAACAAAAAUUACUUCUUUUACAGGUGUUGAUGGAUCAAUUACUUUUGCUAACUUUUCUUAUUCGCUGGAACAGAUGAGAUUUGGAAUGUCCGAAUUUUUGACGUCAAUUGAGAGGCCCUUUACUUUUGCAGAAGAUCAAUACUUUAAGGAGUUUAUGCAAAAAUAUGUUUCCCCUCUUAUUGAAGUGUAAGUAGAAAUAUUGCUCAUUCUAAUUGCAUGAAAUUAUUUCAUAUAAUGAAAGAUAAUUUAAAAAAUCAAUUUAAUGACUUUGAUGGAAUUAUGUGUUUUACAUCUGAUUGUUGGUCCGCAAGUAAUCACAAUGGUUACAUUUGCAUCACUACACAUUAGAUAGACAAUAAUUGGUUAUUAAAAAAAAUAUUGCUUUUCGUUUACCAAAAUAUCCACAUAAUGGUCUAAAUUUAUAUGAUAAUUUAUCACAAGUUUUUAAUGAUUUUGGUGUUUUAAAUAAAUUAUCUAGUAUUAGUUUUCAUAAUGCUAAGCAAAAUACUGCAUGUAUUGACCUUUUGAUUAGAACUCUUAAACCUUAGUUCGAUUCUAAAUUAUUUCAUAUGCGAUGUCGUUUGUCACAUAUUUAAUUUAGUUGUCCAAGAUGGUUUGAAAUUAAUAGAAUCAUGAGUACAAAAAAUUAGACAAGUAGUUAAUUAUAUUUCUUGUUCUAAUUCUAGGCAACAAGAUUUUGGAAAAAAUUUCAAUAAUUUCAGAUUAAAAAAGAAGAAAUUUCUCAAUGAUGUACUGAAUAUAUGGAAUUCAACAUUUCUUAUGUUAAGGUCAUGUAUUAGUUAUACUAAUGCUAUUAAUGUGUAUGGUAAUUCGAUGCAAGACCAAUUUCGUAUUAACGAUUCAGAUUGGGAAUCGACAUUCAAGAUUAUGAAAUUUUUGAAGGCUUUCUACAAGGCAACAAAAGAAGCGUUCAAAAGUUUAUUACCCAACAAGUUGUAUCGUUCAUAACAUUUGGUAGGAAAUGCUAAUCAAUUUUCAAGUUAUAGAGAUGAUCCAAUUUUUACUAACAUAGUUAGUGCAAUGGAGAACAAAUUUCGAAAAUAUUAUGAAAACAUGCCACUUAUUUUUCCCUUGGUAGCAAUUAUAGACAUUCGAAUUAAAUUAUUUGGGGUUCAAUGUGCUAUGGAGCAACUUUCAUAAAAUUAAUGUUUUAAGAUAAAUCUUACGAAUCGGGAAUUAGAAUGUUUUCUUAAUGAACUAUGCAACUAUUAUUCUAGUAAAUAUAGAAACAAUGAAACUGUUCCUGCAAGUUCCAUUGCAAAAGAGAAAUCGUCUUUCGUUUUUCUAUGAUAGCUCAUAAACGUCGUGGUUGCAAUUCUUCUUUCUACAAGUUCAAGUUUGCUGAGGAGUUGAAGAAACCUCUUGACCUUUAUUGGGAGUGCAUGCUCUUCUCGUUGAAGUAUUUUUUGGGUAUUUUGGUAUGUUUAAAAGAUUUUUUUAGCCCCUAUUUGACAAGUAUUAUUUGGAAAAAAUAAAGUUUUGAAUAGUGAUUUUUAAGAGAAUGUGUGAUUAAAAAGUAGGAAGAUAAUUUGGGUAUAUGUGAAGAAUAUUCUAUUAUGAGAAAGUGUGGCAGAAAAUGCUUAUGUAAAAAAAAAAAAAAAAAAAAAAGUCGAAAAAACCUCAUAAAAUAGCCUCCAUAUUUUGUUCACUAACCUUGUAACUGACUUACAAACUUAGAGAAAAAAAAAAGGGGGUAUUUGUUAUAUUUGUAUAUACGUGGCAUGCAUGUCAUGUGUCCUACAUUGAUUGACUCGACAUCAACACCUGAAUUGGGCCAAUUAAUCAAAAAACAUGUUCUCGUACUUCGGUGGGCCAAGUAGGAAGAUAAUUUGGGUAUAUGUGAAGAAUAUUCUAUUAUGAAAAAGUGGGGCAGAAAAUGUUUAUGAAAAAAAAAAAAAAAAAAGAGUCUGAACAUAAUGGUUGUCGAACAGGGCUUACGUCAAUUCUAACUUUAUCUUGUUGACCUCUUCAAUUGGAACAAUUGGAAUUUGAUUUGGCUAUAAGUUAACAGUAUGUUUCUUAACUGGAAUUUUGAUGAAUUUUAAAUGGGUGUCCUCAGUUGAAAUUUUGAUAGAUUUUAAAAGAGUUUGAUUAUAUCUACACAAUAAUUUUUAUUUGUUACACCGCAUUUUAAUUGUAGUUAAGCAUUUUAAUCUUCACUCAUUAUAGCAAUUAUGUUCUUAACCUUUUUUCAUCGAAUUCUUCGAAUUCUUAUCUUCAGCUUUUAUUUUCAUGCUUUGAAAUGAUGAAAAUUAUUUUUUACACUUUUUAUUUAUUUUUAAAAAAAAUAUGGUGAAAAAUAAAGUUGUUUUUUAUCCCAUUUCAACUAACUUUUGGACAUAAAAUUGUUAUCAAAUAAUAAAUGUAUAAAACAAUGAAAAUUUUGAAGAUAAGAAUAAUAUAAAAAAUCGUUAAAGGCAUAAGUGCUAAAAGAACUUUAAGUGCAAUUAAAAUGUGGUAUAAGAAAUAAUAAUUGUUGUGAAUAUAAGACACUUUAAAAGAUUAUAAAUUAUAAUGAAUUACCUAGAUUAACAUAAAUUUCCAAAAAAACUCAUAAGAAUCUCAUUAAAAAUGGUGAAAUUUCAAAAGAAUUUGUUAUGUAUAUUUUUAAGCUAGAAAGUGUGUGCUCAUUGGAUGUUUUUUUGAUAUCAAUGGAUAUAUCAUUCUAGUAUCAAAGGAUACACUUUCAUUUCUCGAAACGUUUUCUUCUACGAAACUAUUUUUCCUCUAGAAUUGACAAUAUACAAUGACUUUGACAUUUUGUUAAAUCCAAGUGAACUUACUUUUACCCUAGAUCCUGUUAUCUUCAUUUCCAUCCCUCUACUUCAUAAUUAUCCUAUUGUUGUAGAUAAUCUAAACAUUAUUCUGAAGAACCAAGAAUUACAGAACCAUUGAUUCACAUGCAAAUAAGAUGGUUAGCUCUACUGACCAAUCAACACAUGAACCAAAAAAUGACCAAGACAUUUCCCCAUAUUUGCCACGAAGAUCAAUUAGAAUAAGGAAAGCUUCAGCAGACUUGCAAAACUUCAUAUGCAAGAAAGCCCCUUCACUUAUCUUAUCUCAAAAAUUAGACAAGCCAAAAGUCCAAAUUUAGUUAGGUAAUCCAUUUUUUCUUAGUGCUUGUGUGUCUUACAUUAAGUUGUCAUCACCCCUCAUAUCCUUGUGGCUAACCAACACAACUUCCACCUUAGAGCCAUUUCCCUCCACCAUCGCCUUACAACACCUUGUAAGACACGGUGGUUUUUGUCUUGCAGCCAUAAAAAACAACAUAUGCAUAUGUUUGCUUGUGGCAAGCAACAACUUUCUCCUUGACAUUUUCUUCACCUUAACACUUUUGUACUCUGCAAUGGAGUUUCCUUCUCCGUCUCAAAAGAAAUCACCUCGACUUUUGAUCCCAACUUGGAGGUGCUAAAAUCUACCGUGGAUUAUGUUACGAAUUGAUCGCAAGAUAAUGACAAUAAUGAAAUGCACAAUAACAAAAUUUUCAAGAUUUAUGUAGAAACCCAAGAUGGAAAAAAACACAGGUACAGAAUGAGAAAUCCGCUAUAAUCAAUAGUAAUUGUGUUUACAAUAAAAUCUCAAUUCUCUCAAUUAAGAUCUAAAGAUCUCAAGAUAUUGUAUGAAUGUUAUGAAAACAAUACAAAUUUUGACUUAUAUAUAUAACCCUAGAAAUCAAUAUGUAGAUGAAUAAGAGUCUAAAAACACAUCAAGACGGGCUUGGGUCGGAUAAACCUGUCGCUUGAGCAUCAGGCGGGUGACAGGCGGGCAACAAGUCUCUACAGAGAAUAUUCAAGCACCGAUCAAGUGGCUAGCUAGCGACAGGGUAUUGAAAAUGCGAUGACUUUUCUUUUUAGUCCAUAAUUUUGAUCUGUUCAAAAUCUCUUUGACCAAAAACUCCAAUACUCAUUAGAAUUUGCAUCAAACUAUAAUAAAUCUCUAUCUUGAACCAAAUUCCAAUACAAGAAAUUUCAAAAAGACAAUUUUUAAAGUAAACAUCACUCAUCCUCUUCCAAACAAGGCCCAUAGGACUAAAUCAAUGACAAAUACUAACUAAAUUCAAGCAAUGCUCAAACUUAGCAAUGAGAAGUGAUUUUGUCUUCAUAUCAUCAGGAUUAUCUUUAGUAUCAACCUUGCUCACUAUAAUAUCACCAUGAGCAAUCACAUCACGCACAAAAUGAUACCUCACAUCAAUGUGCUUAGUCCUCUCAUGGAACAUCUAAUCCUUAGUCAGAAAAAUAGCACUUUGAUUGUAGAAAUCUACAAGUUUUCACUAAUUUUACCAAUCAAUCCCUUCAGCCACAUAACCCUCUUACAUGCCUCCGUAAUGGCUAUGUACUCUGCUUCUAUUGUAGAUAAAAUUACUGUAUUUUGCAAAGUAGCUUUCCAGCUAAUAGCACAGUCUCUAAGGGUAAACAUAUACCCUGUAAGUGAUCUCCUCUUAUCAAAAUUUUCUGUAUAAUAUGAAUUCACAUACCUAAUGACUCUAUCUGUAUUUCUACCAAAAUGUAAGCAAGCAUUAGUGGAGUCUUUCAAGUAUCUGAAUAUCCAUUGCACUACUUCCCAAUUUUUCUUGCCAAGAUUUGCUAUGUACCUACUAACUACACUAACUGCAUGUCCCAAAUCUGAUCUUGUACAAAUUAUAGUAUACAUAAGAGAACCAAAUUGUAUUGGAAUAAGAAACCCGAGACAUAUAAUCAAUGUCUUUAUCUAAUUGAGAACAUCUAGAUAAUAAUUUGAAAUAGCCAAGGGGGUAUUGACAGCCUUAGCAUUUGGCAUGUUGAACUUUUGAAGCACAUUCUCAAUGUACUCCCUUCUGACUCAAGUAAAUCUGCUAGCCUUUCUAUCCUCAAAAUUUCCAUACCAAGAAUUUUUUUUGUUGCACCCAAAUAUUUCAUCUUAAACUCCUUACUAAGUUGAGAUUCGCCUAUCUAACCUUGGCUUUAUCUUUGGCUGCUAUGAGCAUAUUAUCAAUAUAUAAUAACAAAUAUGUGAUCGAUCCACUAUCUUUCUUUUUGAAGUACACACGACUAUCAUAAUUACUUCUAAUGAAACUGUGAGUAGUCAUGAAUGAAUCUAACUUUUUGUACCACUGCCUCAAUAACUGCUUUACACACAAGGACUUCUUCAACAAGCACACAGUCCUCCUUUCCAAAUACUAUGAAACCCUCUGGUUGAUACAUAUAAAUAUUUUCUCAACUUCUCUAUGCAAAAAUGUUGCCUUGACAUUCAUUUGCUUAAGCUUCAAAUCAUUUUUUGCUACUAUCAUAAGUAAAGCUCUAAUUGAACUAUGCUUUACAAUUGGUGAGAACACAGCUGUGAAGUCAAUACCCAAAAUUUUACUGUGGCACUUUGCUACCAAUCUAGCCUUAUGAUACAUAGUAUCUUAAAUCCCUUAUGUUUUUCCUUCCUUUUGAACUCCAACUUGCAACGAACAAUCCUUUUAUCCUUAGGUAAUUUUACCUAGUCCCAAAUACUAUUUUUAUUUAAUGACUUCAUCUCCUCCUGCACAGCAAUUGAUCAUCUGCUAAAAUCACUACAACUGACUGUCUCUGAAUAUAUAGCAGGCUCCUCAAUGGAAUCAAUAUUUUCAGCCACGCUCAAUACAUAAGCUAUCAAAUCUGCUUUUCCAUAUUUCUGUGGAGGUCUAAUCUGUUUGCAAGGUUUAUCCUUAGCAAUUGAAUAGUGUGAUAUUGUUGGUAGUAUAGGCAAAGUAGGCUAAAUAUUACUUCUGUCAAUUCUAGCCAAGACUGAUUUUAGAAGACUAUUUUGAAACGUCUAAUUAUACCCUAGACCAAUUUCCAACUACACCUAAGUUGAAUGAUUCUAUUCCUUAGUUUUAUUAGAAUCCCUACGAGGUGAACCAUGAACUAUAGCAAGUUUGUCAAAUACUACAUCUCUACUAACCACCACAUUUCUUGUCUCGAGAUACUAAAAUUUAUACCCUUCAUAGUUAGGGAUGUCAAUAAGCCGAGCCGAGUCGGCUUGCGAGCUGAAAUUUGAGGCUAGGACUAGACUUGAGUAAAAUGGUAAGAGCUUUUUUUAGGUUAGAGCUGAGCCGAACUCUUGCUCGGCCAAAAAAUCUAAGCUCAACCCAAGCUUUCAACUUAGGCCUUUUUGAGUUGAGUUGAGCCAGGCCGGCUUCUUUUUUUAAAUUACUACCUUUUAAGAUAGCAGUUGGCCACCUUUAAGGUAGCAAAAAAUGCUACCUUUUAAAGGACAGCAACUAACGCCUUUAAGGCAGCACCAUGCAUCAUUUUAAAAAGCGGCACUCGAUUGCCUUGAAAAGGCAGUUGCCUUUUCUUGUAGAAGCCCAUAAGCCCGAGCCGCAUGGGUUGGGUUGGGUUGGCUUGGGCUUUUUUUUGGGUCGAGCCACGGGCGGUCGGAGCUGACGAGAUAAAUUAGCAUCCUGUUCACACCUAAUUUAUAUCUAAAAAAGAUAUACUUUCUAGACAUAGGCUCCAACUUCCCAUUAUCCAUAUGAGCAUAAGCAGGACACUCAAAUAUUUUUAAAUCAGAAUAACAAAAAGGUUUACCAGACCAUGCUAUUUUGGUGUCUUUUUCUCAAUGGCAGUCGAGGGUGAGCUAUUAAUUAGAAAUAAGCUAUAGUAACAACUUCAGCCCAAAAAGUCAUAGGCAAUCUAAAAUUUGAAAGCAUACAAUGAAUCUUUUCCAUCAAAGUUCUAUUAAUCCAUUCUGCCAUACCACUCUGUUAAGGAGUUCUGGGCACUAUCAAGUGUCUCGAGAUGCAUUCAGCUUUGUAGAAGCUAUUGAAUUAAUCUAAACAAAAUUCCAACAUAUUGUCUGUGUGUGGACAUUUUACCUGCUUUUCAGUCUACUUUUCUAUCAAUGUUUUCCACUUUUUGAAGGUCGAAAACACAUCAUUCUUAUAUUUUAAGACUCAAACUUUCCAAGAGAAAUCAUCAACUACUGUCCCCCAAAGAUUUAAAUUGAUGUUCCCUUUGUAUUGUGCCUUCUUUUAGUGAAUCUAUCUCUUUUCUGUUUCCUAAAGAUACAAAGCUCAAAAAACUUCAUCGUACUGGUCUUUUGCUCAUCAAGAAGUCAUCUCCUACUCAACUCUAUCAUACCUGUCUCAAUCAUAUGCCCAAAUCUCAUAGGCCAAAGUUUAGUAACUUUCUCAUCAAUCAAAGAAGAAGAAAAAACUGAUGCAUCUCCUGAAAUUGGAAACCCUACAAAAUGUACAACUUUGUAGAAUUUUUCUGUCACUUCAUAACAACAAUAGCACCCUAACUCACCUUCAAAACUCCACAUUCGCAGUGUAUUUAUGAUUUUUUGAGUCAAGUACACUCAAAGAUAUGAGAUUUCUUCAAUUUCAAAAUGUGCCUUAUAUUUGUAAGUGUUCUAAUAGUACCAUCGAACAUUCUGAUUCUGAUUUGACCAACUUCGACAAUUUUGUAAGGCUAUUUGUUCUCAUAAUCCCUACAUCUCUCAAAACUCUUUCAUAUGUUAAAAAUUGAUCUCUGUUGGGAUACAUAUGAAAAGUACAUGCCGAUUCAAGAACACAUUUCUCACAAAGUUUAGAACCUAUGUAAGAAAUCAUAAAAAGCUUUCCUUCACUUGGCCCAUCUUCCACAACAUCAGCUUCUAUUGUGUUAAUAGGUUGUUUUUCAUUUCAGUAGCACUAGUAGCUUUAUUUCUAUUUUUUCAAUGAAUAGCAAUCAACUUUGAUAUGCCCCUUCUUCUAUUUUUCAAUGAAUAGCAAUCAGCUCUAAUAUGGCCCUUUCUUUUUUUACAGUAAUGACAUACUUUCUCUAUAUAUUUGGAGUUUGAUUUGCCCUCAUAUUCCUACCAAGAUUCUUAUUCUGAUUUAUCCUACGAACAACCAGGCUUUUAGCUUAACUCAUAGGUCCUUCAAUAAGACACCUCAUCUUCUCCUUAAAUAGUAAAGUAUCAUAGACCUCUUUUAUAGUGAGUAUAUCCCGACUAUAGAGAAUAGUAUCUCUAAAAGUCACAUAUGAUGGCGAUAGAGAACACAACAACAUCAAAGCAAAGUCCUCCUCGUCAUACUUGACUUUUAAUGCCUCCAAAUCAGCCAUGAUUUAUUUGAACAUAGUUAAGUGAUCAUCCAAUGAUGUACCUUCAGACACCCAUGAGAAUACAAGCGUUUUUGCAAGUUUAACUUGCUAGUCAAGCACUUUGUCAUACAAAGUUGCUCCAACUUCAACCACAAUACAGCAGCACUUUUCUCCUUUAAAACAUCCUAAAGAAUUUGAUUUGAUAAAUGUAGAUGAAUUUGAGAUUGGGCUUUCUAAUCCCUACACUGCUUUUCAUCUUGUAUCCAUGUUGAAGGCAUAUUAUCAAGCCAAGCAAGGCUUCCUCUAAAUCCAUCUGAGCGAGAACUGUUCACAUCUUCACUUGUCAUAAAGUAAAUAUCAUGUUUUGAUCCAAUAACAGAAUAUCAUAUUUCAUUUUUGCCAUGCGAAAUAAUCAACUUUGCUUUGUUACCACUAGUUAUUAAUUGAUCGCUAGAUAAUGACAAUAAUGAAAUAACUAAGAACAAAUAAGAGUACCAAAAUUUAUGUGGAAACCCAAUAUCAAAAAAAUCGUAGACAAAGGAGAAGAAAUUCACUAUAAUCAAUUAAUUAAGAUCUAAAGCUCUCAAGAUAUUGUAUGAAUGUUAUGAGAAUAAUACAAGCCGCGACUUAUAUAAAAACCUUAGAAAUCACGUUGUGGAUGAAUAUGAGUCUAACAAUUCGUUAUAAUACUAAAUAGGCCUGGGCUGAAUAACAUUAUCACUCGUGUGACAGGUGAGUGAUAGGCAGACGACAACUCCACCGCUCGAGCGCCUAGUGGGCGAUAGGCGAUCGACAAGUUUCUGUAGGAAACAUGCAAGCUUCGCUCGAGUGGCUAGCUAGUGGUAGGCUAGCGAAAAUGCGACGACUUUUAUUCAUGAUCCAUAAUUUUGAUCUCUUCAGGACCACUUCAACCAAAAACUGCAAUACCCAUUAGAAUUUUGAGUCAAACUACAAUAGAUUCCAAUGAAGUAGCAUGGUAUUUUUCUUUUCCUUUUACCCCUGCCUCUUUGCAUUCUUGAAUUGUUUUCUUCAUGAUAUUUAUAUAUUUCAAAUUGUGAUUGACUGAAAUUCUGUUCAGAAUUUGUAGAAACCUUUUAAAGAAAAUGGAAUUGAAUCAGCAACUCGAUGAGGUAAUAAACUGCCCUGAUCAUAAGCACUCUUGAAAAAGUGCAAUUUCAUAUUAUUUCUUUAUAAAGAUCCUUCUCCAAAAAAGAAUACAUUACGUUUUGAUUAUCACGCAAUUGAUUUUCAUCAGCUUCGCGGUGGUAAAUGAUGGCAAAUGCACUUGGUGUGGCUCCAAUAAAGACUGAUUUGCCUGAAAAUUGGUUGAAUUGGAACUUAUUUUACUUUAGAAAAGAAGAAAAAUGUCUUUUCAAAAUCCACUUCAACUACAUUAGAGGAAACAUUUAAAGGAUUCUUGAAAUGAAUCAGUUUACCCUAAAUUGGAAUUGGUUUUGCCCAUUCAUAAUUUUGAAAAAGAAGAAAAAGCUUUUCAUUAACUUCUUCAUUGAGAACACCAAAAGAAGUAUAAAAAUAUAAAUUACUCACAGAAAGAAGUAAUAAUAUAUGCUAAAACUUGAACUCCAUUGGAUAUCAGAUAGAGCUGCAAUAGGUAGAGAAAAUGGAGUAAUUGGAACUGAAAACAAAGAGGGUUCGUUUUAACGGAAGGAAAAACAUAGGAUCAGUCCUGAGAAUUUUGAGGCACUAGGAGUAGCAAUAUUCAAACUUAUGUAAAUAGCCGUGAAUAAUCCAGUUCAUGAGGAGCUUUUGUAGUGAUUUAGCCCAGGACAUUGAACAAUAACCUUACUACAUUACAUGAUAAUUAAUCAGAAACAGCCAAUUCCAUGAUGUUGGAUGUUUGACAAAGCAGUUAAUUGCUAUGUAAUUGCUACUUUGUGGAUUUAUUAUAUGCAUAGUGUGGAGAUUCAUAAUGGUUCUUGUUCAAUUUUUCUUAAACGUCGAUUUUGUAAACAAAAUCAAAUCCAAGUAAACCAACACAAAUCCAUGCUCUAAAUCAACUAUGAAUUUCCUUUUUCACAAGUUCCAGCAUUUCAAGCUACGACCUUUUCAAAAUUUCGAUAAGAGCAUUUUUUCAAAAGUUACUUCCCCUUCCUCAAAUAAUUUACUAGUCCUCAUAAUGAAUUUAGGCCACAUACAUUUCUAUAUAUAUAUGUCCCAUAAUAAAUACGAGUAUUCAGAAACAUAAAAUCAAAUAAUAAACCAGAAAGAAAGUUCGCUUAAAGAUUUUAUCUCUUUUUUUGUGAUUUUCUUCUCAGUUUUUCAAUUUCUUACCAUGAGCAGAGAAAUAGUGUUGGACAUUGGUUUUACUUGUUUAUCAGGCACAAGCUGAUGGAAGGAAAGAGAGAGGAGGAAGCAUAUGCAGUUGGCCAUGGGUGGUCCUUUCUCACACCGAUUAUUUGUAGUUUUUUUUGUGAAUCUACUUCUUUUGUGGACACUUGCUUGUGAUUUACUAUAGUUCAAUUUAUCUGCUUCUCACCAUCUCUUUUAGUCGAUAAAACAAGGUUAUUUUGAGUAAUUGGGUGGGUUUCGGAUUUUUUUUUUCAUGAGGCCCCUCUAAAUUAUGAGGUCCUAGCUGGCUGCCUAGUUAGUGUUGGGAAUAUACUUAACGUGCGCAGUGGAAAAACAAAACAUUUUUCAAUUCUCACCAGAAAUCGUCUUUGUAUUUAGAUAGAAACUGUGAUAGAGGUUGUACCUUUUGUAGAUCUGCAAACUCCUUUACCAUAUAUUUGUUCUAGCAACUUGGAUCUGUCCACAGCUGUCCAAUUGUCCAGCCUUUAACGAUAAUUCACACAGAAAACAAGAUUGCAGUAUUAAGGUUUUUCUUGUGCUAACAAGAAUAAUGAAUUCUCCACAGAUUUUGCAAACCUUAGUCAUAUUUAUAUAAGCCCAAAUGGACUUGGCCUAAUCCGAUCCAAUAUUUAAUUAACCCCUUUAAUUAAAUCCAAUCCGUGAACUAAUUAAUCCAAAUUAAUUAAUUCAAGCCUAUAAAUAUGCAACUCAAUUAAUUAAUUUAUCCAACUUGUUAAAGUAAUUAAUUGAUAAAUUUCAAUAUUCUAGUUCUCUUUUGUGUGCAACCUUUCAGGUUCCUGAUCACGAUACCUAACGACGUGAAAUAUUAUUUUGAUAUAAUCAAAAUUGAUAAAUUAAAACACCCCUUUAAUUUAUCACCAAUUCAUGCUCGCCGUCCCAAAUUGACAUCUAGCAAUGUGUAAGGGCAAUACAUGUGAUGGAAAAUGUCACGUAGUAUGACAAAACCAAACUCGUUCGUUUACUGUGAAGUUAUAAUCCCUUCGUCAAUAUGAUCCGAUCAAUUAUGAGAUAUGAAAGUGUGUCAAUCUCGAUUAUUAAUUAUAUCUUACACUCCACUAUUAAGUCAAUAUAAGUCGAAAACUCCUUUUUGACUUAUGAGUACACCUUGGCCAAAGAUUUCGUUAUCGACUUAAUUGAAUGAAAUGUAGAUCAUAAUCUCUUACUAUCCAAGAGUGACGAAUCAUCUACUGGUCAUUCACAACCUUCAUACGAUUCUUGAUAUACCCGAACGAUGUCGUAUUAGCGGCCCUUGGCAGAGCAACAUCCAACAUUAUCAAAGCAUGACUGUCCUCAUAUAAUGUACUAUGACGACCUCAAGUCAAAAGACAAAUUUUACUACCAAACGUUAGAGAUUAACCACUAACACUUAGAUAGUUAUCCAUGUGGAAUCUCUAGGCGGGUCUCCAAUGCUUUGUUCUACAACAAACAUCAACGUGUUCAUUCAAGUGUCACCACACUUUAACUUAUGAGAUCAGCUACUUACUUCACAAGUAAGAAAUGCCACACGUGAUAGUCUAUUCAUAAUAACGAUAUCCGUAUCUCGUUAUUACUUCUGACCACGGACGUUUAAGAUUCAAUCAUAUGUAAUUUGUAUCUCACAAUCACAACUCCUUAUGAUUAACAAAUUACGAAAAUUUGAAUUUACAGACUCUAUUAUUUAAUUUAAUUAAAUAUUAAUUAAAUAAUAUAUCUGCUAUAAAAUUGCAUUAAAAAAUAUUAAAAGCAUUUGUGUCCAAGAUUGAUUGGACUUAGAGCAUAAUACUUACAAUUAGCUUUGUGCAAAAACCAGGCCUCAAAAAUGAUUUAUAGCAGCAUUAAAAUUUGUCACAAUAAAUUGUUGAAAUAAUGUAUGGACUAAAAGAUAUUAUUACUUCAACUGUAUUUGACUUACAUGAAUUCAAUGAUGUGUCGAUCCCAAGUACUUGUGGGUUGCAUUUAUUAUUCGCUGAGGCGAAAUCCCUUGACCUUUCUUGAGUGUGCAUGCUUUUCUCGUUGAAGUAAUUUGGGGCAUUUUGGCAUGUAGAAAAAAAGUUUGAAAAUAAUGGUUGUCAGACAGGGACUUAGUUCAAUUCUAAUUUUGUCAUGUAGACCUCUUUAAUUGGAAUUCAGUUUGGUUGUAAGUUAACAAGAUGUUUCUUAGUUGGGAUUUUAAUGAAUUUAAAACGAAUGUCCUCAACUAAAAUUGUGAUAAAUUUUAAAAGACGAUGGUUAUAUCCAAACCAUAAUUUUUAUUUAUUACAUCACAUUUUGAUUGUAGUUAAACACCUCAAUCUUUGCUCAUUAUAGAAAUUACUUUCUUAACUUUUCUUUUUUUUCCAUAUUCGUAUCUUCAAUUUUCUAUUAAUUAUGUCUCAUCGUUGAUCAUGAUUUUUAUCAAAAUAAUUUAUUUUCAUACUUUGAAAUAAGGAAAAAGUAUAUCUUUAGCACAUUUUAUUUAUUUUUUAAAAAUAUGAUAAAAAGUAAGUUGUUUUAUGCCAUUUCGGCUAGAGAUGUCAAACGGGGCGAGUGGCUCGUCAAAACAAGGCUCGUGGGUUGCUCAGGCUCUUUAGCUGAGCUCAGCUCGUCGAGCCCAAGAGCUCGUCAAAAAAUAUGAAUUUUUUUUUAAAAUAUCCAAAAUGUGCAAAUUUACCAAAAAAAUUUUAAAAAUCACGAGCUCGCCCCCGAGCAACGAGCUCGGCUCACCACGAGCCCGAGCCGAGCUCGUGGGUUCAAGGGCCGAGCUAGCUCGACUCGACCCAUUGUCAUCACUAAUUUCGACUGACUUUAAUUUGGAUAUAAAACUGCUGUUAAAUUAAAAAAAUGUUAAACUAAUGAAAACUUUGAGGAUAAAAAUAAUAUGAAAAUCGUUUAAUACAUGAGUGCUAUAACGAACAACGAUUAAGAAUUUUAUGUACAAUUAAAAUGUAUUGCAAGAAAUAAAAAAAUUGUAGUGUGAAUAUAAUUAUCCUUUAAAAGAUUAUAAAUUCUAAUGAAUUUCAUGGACUUCAAUUGAUUUUCAAUAUAAUCCAUAAGAAUCUUAUUAAAAAUGGUGAAAUUUCAAAGAGAAUUUGUUGUGUAUUUUUAAGUUUGAAAUUGAUCCAAAUUUUUUAUAUCCCUCUGUUAAUAAAAUGCUUAUAAAUUCAUGAGUUAUUGAGAAUGCCUAAAUUUUAAAAAAUUUCAUUAAAAUUUAUUAACAUAUUGGUAACACCUAAAAUUUAAUGGAUUAUAUUUGAAAUUCAUUAAAAUCUUAAGAAAGGACACUUAAACCUCUAUUUGAUGGGAAUUAAAAUAAGAUUUUAGUAAAUUGCGAUAGAUGUUGAUAAAAUGUGUGAUUAAAAUUAAUUAUUGAUCUCGACUUGGAUUAAAAUCUUGAUUUUAACUUCUACCAAGCAAGAGCUUAUAAGGUGUUUUUGAAUCCAUUAAAAGCUGAAUUGAGGAUACCCUAUGAAAGAUUAUAAAUUCCAAUGGAUUUUGUGAAUUUGAAUAGUUUUCAACUGAAUUCAUAAAAAUUCCAUUAAAAUGAUGAAAUUUCAAAAAUGUUUGCAGGUUUGAAAUCCGUUUAUUAUUAUAAAUUAACGAGUUAUUAAGAAUAACUAGAUUAAUAAAUUUCAUUGAAAUAAAUUAAAUUUUUAGUUGUAAACAUCUAAAUUUUAAUGAAUUAAAAUUAAUUAAAAUUUCAAUUAAGGCAACAAGAUUUUAAUAAUUUUUUUUAAAAAAAUCAUUAAAAUUUUAAUUGGGUUCAAUUUUGCAAAGAUUUUGGAAAUAUUUUUAUGAAGGUAUUUAUAUUCACAUCAAAUAGUUUUAUAAACACACGACAUUUUAAUUACAUUAAAGUUUAUAAACCUUUAUUCGUUAUCACACUUGUAUUCUUAAUUUUAUUCUUUCUUACAUUCUUAUUUUUAUUCAGUGUGCUUUAAAAUGAGGGUUAAAUAUUCAAUCGCAUUUUUACAUGAUUAUUUAUUUUGCAUAUAAAUACGAUUGACAAAUGAGUCUUUUUACUCUACCUUAAAGAAAUCUUUGGAGAGAAAUCAUAAUCAAGAACAAUUUAUGUUAAUUUGAGAAAUAAGGAUGCGAUAAAAAAAGUUUCGGACAUAAAUGUAAUAACAUGUAAGGGUUAUAAACCUUUCGUGUAAUUAAAAUGUAGUCAAGUUAUUAAAAAUUAUAAAGUGAAUAUAUUCAACCCUAGUUUGAACCCCAUUUUUGGGUCAAAAUGCAUUUUAGAAUAGUAUUUUAUUGAAGAAUGUGCGAUUAAAAAGUAAAGAAAAAGUUGGGACUUACAUAUAAAAUUAUUUUAUAAGAGAAUGUAUGGUGAAAAAUGAAUUUUUAAAAAAUGGGGACCCAACAUAGAUCUAACCUUUUUAAAACAAAUUAAAAGUUUAAUUGAGGACACUCCCUAAAACUCACAUAUUCGAAAACCAUUGAAAUAAGACAAGAUUCGAAUUGUUCAACGACGAUCGAUGCAUGCAAAAACUUGGUGUGGAUGAAGUGUAGAACGUCGGGAUGCAUAUAUAUAGCAUGUGAAUACAUAUUUCUAUAUGUUUGUAACUAUUAGGCUUUUAAAUUUGAUUAGGUUGAUUUUGUUUCAAUGAAUUAUUUAAGGGUUAUGGUUGAAGCAAACUUUCUCAUGCAAGCAUAUUAUGUUAAUUAAUCUAUGGUCGUAUCCAAACUCCUAGAGCUUGGUACAAUGAGCUCCAUACUUUUUUUGGUGGAGGAGGGAAUUCAUAAUUAUCAUACAUUAAGCUCCUAUUUGGUAGUGCUUAAAAUAAAGUUUUUUAGUACAUUUUAAUAAAAGUUCAUGACGUGUGGUUGAAAACUUGUGUAUUUCAUGAAAUACGUAUUUAAAAUUAAUUGUUAACUUUGACUUAUAUUAAAAUUUAGAGUUUGAUCCCUAUCAAACAAGGACUAAGAAUAACAAUUUCAAAAAUAUCAAACUUGUAGAAUAUUUUCAAAAAUCAAAUGAAAAAUAAAUAAAUUUAUCUUUCCAAUAUUCUCUCACCUUUUCUUUCCCAAAAUUAAGCAUUCCAGUUAUUUCUUUCCACAUUUCUCUCACAUUCCAAUAAUCAAAAUCUCAAUUUUCGAUCUUGUAUCAUCUUUGGACAGAUGAAUUCAAAAAUUUCACCAAAUCCUUUGUCUGAUAAUCAAAUUUACAGUUUCUUGGUCACUAUAUCUUCGCUAUUACAUUAUGUUACAUAUGUUAUGUUCCUUCAUUAACUGAAUUAUCAUCCUGUUCACAAUUUGGGCAUGAUUUAGAGUAAUUAUUUCUGAUCAUUUGAGAGAAAUUGUUUCACAGUGUGGAUUUCGCUUCUCAUGCACAACUAAUAGAAAUAUUUUUAGUUAAAUUUGAUUUCGAUGUACGAAUUUCAUAUAUAUACGUAAUUUGAGAAUAUUUACUACCAAUUUAUUGUAAAUAUUAACUAUAAAUUAACAGAUGGUGUGUAAUUCAUUGUGACCUUACUUUGUUGCUGAAUUUAUGAUGUGAGUUCUCUAAUUUUAAUUUAUUGUGACCAAUAUUAAUUCAUCUAUCUACAUUUGCCAGAAUGAAAUGAAUGGACAUUCAAUGUUUCCAAUUCUGCGAAUUCAAGCUUAUUUUGGAUUACAUAGUUGUGUAGAAUUUCUGCUUCGAGUGCAUCAACGGUGUUAUUUUCAAACUUGUGACUUUCAUAUUGUGAUCAUUGUUGUUAUUUAUAAUAUUCAAACUUGUGACCUUCAUUUUUGUGAUUAGUGUUAUUUUCUGUGAUCAAUGGUGUUAUUUGGACCAAUGUUGUUAUUUGUGACCUUCUUAUAAGUGUAGUAUAUUCAAUUUGUAACUCGUUCGUACUUUCUGACCAUCAUUUGUAACAUUUUAUGUUUUCUGACCAAUGUUGUAAUCUGUGACCAUUGCGGUUAUUUGUGACUAGUACAGUUAUUCUUGAAAGGUCACAAGUUGUAAAAUGUGGAAGGCGCGGUGGAUUCGACCACAACUUACAACAACAUGGUGCCACUUAAUCGAAAAAGAGAAAAUUGAGUGGGAAGAAACAACGAAAGGUGGUCACAUAUAGGGAUAUCAAUGAGUCGAGCCAGCUCGCGAGCCGAAACUUGUGACUUGGGCUUUGCUCGAGUAAAAAUGGUUCAGGCAAUUUUUGGAAUCUAGUCUCGAUCCAAGCUUUAGGCUCGGGAUUUAUCGAGCUGAGUUGAAUCAGCUCACUUUUUUUUAAUAAAAACACAGGACGCUACAUAUAAAAAGCAACAAUAGUUGCUACCAGGUGCAUUUUUCUUUCUUUUUUUAAGGGUGAACUCGUUAUGGGCCAAAAAUGACCCCUGACACGAGUCAGGCUUAGGUUCGGCCCGAAGUCCCAAAAUGUUGCUCGGCCCAAUCCUCGGGCUCGAUCGUAUCGAGCUAGCCACCGGCUCGAGGUUUUUUUUUAGCCAAGCAUUCGCCUUGAAUCUAUGAGCCAAAUUGAUAUCCCUAGUCACAUAGUACAUCAAUUUGUGUAAUAACAUAAUACUUGCAAUAAUAUGGUGCAACUUAACCAUAUAGAAGGAAAAUUGAAUGAAAAAACAUCAAAAGAUUGUCACAUUGUACAAUAGCUUGUGUAAAAGCGGCAUGAUAUUCUUUUGUACUUCAUCCUUUGAAUGUGCCAAAUCCUCAUUCGUUAGCCAGGGGGAAACCAUCCACCAGUCACCAUUCUUCCCACCUUAAACCACCACCGGUCCCUAAUUGCAUCUGUUUUUUUAUUUCUUUCUCCAUUUUAACUCUGCCUUCAUUGGAGAGUCUCAAGCUGUAGUUGUUGAGAUUGGUUAAUUUAGUAGGAAAAAAAGCAGUGAUGGUGGGUUGGCGGUGAUGGGUAUGGAUUUGAUAUAGAGGUGGUGAUGUUCGUUUUAGAUUUGAUGUGGAUGUGGUAGUAAUAUAAUGGCAAGUCUCCUGUUAUUGUAGUUAUUUGGCGUUGAUUUAUCUUGUUUGAAUAUAUUGUUUGUUGUGGGUAGUUUUUUUAUAAGACAUGUUGUGGUGGUGUUAGCAAUGACAGUAGUGGUGCAGGUGCUGGUUGUGUUGCUGGUGUUUGGAUUGGGUUGAGGUUGUAUGGACACAGUUUGUGACCAAUAAAAUAAAAAAUUUGUGAAUUGAUGCAAUGACCCGUGUCUUGUGCAAAAUGACCCGUGACAUGUAAAUUGAUAACAUGUUACAUGUCCUUGUGCACUUGUUACAGGUCACAUAUCACAUAUUUAUAUUCAUAGGUCACUAUUACUUGGUUACAUAUUAUAGUUUACAGGUUACGGUUAUAGUUCACAAGUCAUAGGUUAUAUUGUUUAGGUCACAGAUGUUCACAUGCUAUAGUUUACAGGUUAAUAUUAAUUGGUCGCAUAUUAUAUAGGUCACAUAUAUUCAUACAUCAUAUGUUAUAGUUCAUGGGUCAAUAUUAAUUGGUAACAUGUUAUAAUUCACAAGUCCAACUUAUAGUUCACAGAUCAGAAGUUAUAUUGUAUAGGUUACUAGUUAUAAUUCAUUGAUCACAGGUCACCAUUCAUAGGUCACUGAUCCAAGAGAAUUGGUUACAAGUUAUUGGAACAAUUUCACAUGCAACAGAUUAAGUAAACUCAAGAGAAUUGAUCACAUGUCAUUGAUUUUUUGGAACUGGUCACAAAUUCAAUUAACCAAAUUUCAGUAGUUAGAAUUGAAGUUAUUUGAUCUGGUGAGUAUUUUAUAAAUUACACCUGAGGCUGUUUUUCAAUUUUUAAUUUUAAAAAAUAGAUUUAAAUUACAUCAGCAUUGCUCAAUUGUUGCUGAUGAAGAUGAUCAGUCGCCAAUGAGGUUCAAUCAAUGUUCUUAAAAAAUGGUUUGUUUUUCCCACUCUCUAGUGUCUGAGUCGAAGAUUCUCAGUUGUCAUAGAGUGGCGUUCAGUUUGCCAUUGAAAAAGAUGCUCAAUCGUCGACAAUCUCUAUAGAUUCUUUCUUUCGGCGAAGUUAUUUAGAUGUUGGUGAUUGCGAGAGUGGUUGCCGACGAUUCCGAUUUUUGACAACUGUAAAAGGGACGGAGACAGGCGGAUAUCGGUAAUUAUAGCCUAAACAGGAGAGAGAUUGGUAUUAUUUUAUAUAUCAUUUUUUAUUUAAUUAAUAAAAUUUAAUUAUCACUUGAGUUUUGAAAAUAUAAACUUGUUAUCUUAAAAUUGAAUUAACCUAAAUUUAAGGCCUGAGAUAUGAUUUUUUCCUGGGAAAGACUACAUAACUACAACAUUAUAAAAACACAUUUCAUAAAUAACAAACUCAUUAAAAUAUUUUCAAAAAUUGGGUGGUAAAUAUAUUUAUUAAAUAUUAAACUACAAUAUAAUAUGCAUUAAUUAUUUCCACUCCAUGCCACCUCACUCACCCCAUCCUCUCACCCCACUACACUACCUUCCCUUCACCUCUCCAUCGGAGAUAGCUAUCAGCUUCCGCAGUCACUUCGGCGACUGCUCAAGCAACAGCUCCAGCGACUGGUCCGACGACUGCUCCGACAAACUGUUGUGACGAACGCUCCAGCGACUACUCCAGCAACUAUUCCACCAAUUGUUCCGGCUCCGGUGAUAGAAAAAUCUCCAAAAAUUGUGAUGGUUGUAGUGGUGCAUUAUAGUUAUAAAAUUUGCAACCGUGUUAUCUGUGACCAUACAUGUGUUAUAUGUGUCCAAUUCGCUGACUUAUGUUAUCUGAGAAUCACCGUGACCAAUUUUCCCUUCGGUGUAACUAAUUGUGACCAAAUUUGUAUUCAGUGUGACUUCUGUGACCAGGUCAAUCUCAAGUCACAAUCGGUCACAAUCAAUACAAAAUUGGUCACAAAUAGUCACAAAUAGAUCUCGAACAGGAAAAACCAGAUAUCCAACAACCACGACAAAUCUAUUCUGAAAAAUAAUAACCACCACCACUACUAACAUCUUUAACUUAAAUUGAUAACUAUAAAUACUACAUUCAUCUCAAAUCCACACCAAUCAUCGCUACCGUAACUUCUACCAACCCUUCAAAAAACACCAACCAACACCACCACACUUCUCUUGUGAAACUUCAGUGAGAGACAUGGUAGGUGGUCAGAAUUUAGAGGGUGGGUGGGGAAGAAGUCGUAUAUCUAAUUUUUGGGUAAGAGACUGUCAACUAAUUUUUGGGGGAAGAAAUAGAUUGUAAAGGUUAAAAAUUGAUACAAGAUCUGGGGUAAAUUGAUAUGGGGUCUGUGACCAAGUUUGUAUUCAAUGUGGCUGUUUGUGACCAGAUAAAUCUUAAGUCACAACCGGUCACAAUCAACACUCACAACCAGUCACAACCAGAUCUCGAACAGGAAAAAAAAAAAGACCUCCAACCACCACAGCAGAUCUGUUCGAAAAAAUAAUAACAACCACAACUACUAACAUCUUUAACUCAAAUCCAUAACAACAAUUAUCACUACCUUAACUUCGACCAAUACCUUCAAAAACAACAACCAAUUGAUUACUGAAUAUUUCUCAAUAAAGAUUUCCAGGAUUCUUCUUCAGUUAUCUCUCGAAAAGAUGAGGAAGAUUAUGAGAGAAAAGCCGUAGAUCUGAUUGUUCUUCACCAUAUGGACUCCACGUUCACAUUUGAUUUUCUUCUCCUCACAGAUUGCUUCUGCUUUAGGUAACCCAUGUACCGUAUUGGCACUUCCCCCAAAUCUAAGCUUAUCAGCUUUCAAAGAAGAGAUUUGUGCGAAACUCCGACAAGAGAAAUAGCAGGUGGCUAGAAUCUAAAGGGUGGGGAUGGGGAUGGGGAUGAGGGUGGGGAAGAAGCCACCGAUGAGAUUUUUGGGUAAGAGAGUGCUGAUCAAUUUUUGGGGAAGAGAGGGAGUGUGUGUGGGUUAGAAAAUGAAUCGGGGUGUGGUGUAAAAGAAGUGGUCAAGGGUGGUAGAGCAGGUGAGUGUAAUUAAUUAAUUUAAAAAUUAGUAUUUAUCACCUGACUAUUGAAAUUUAAUCUUUCACCUACUUAUUUUAGAAAUGUAAUCUCGAAAAGAAGGGAUCUAGAUAAUUUUCCCUUUUUCCCUUUAUAAAUUUUGAUGUAUAUGUAGUACAACCGAAAAAUUAUCUCGUUAAGUGAACUCUUUAACAACAAUAAUGUAGGCCCAAUAAUCAUUUAAGCCCACUCUACACCAAAUCCCGGUAAAAGCCCAAUCCAUACUGAAAAACCCUAAUUACCUCAGCCAUCCAAGUAUAUAAAUACUACAACGAGGAUUUACCAGCAAUUUUGAACCUCCAUCUUUAAUUCGCUCAUGGUAAUUUCUGUUUGUCUAGAACAGUAAUAAAUGCUUCGUAUAUGAUCUGUAGUAAAUAUUGAUGUUGAAAUUUGUUAUUAUUAAAAGGGAAAGGGAACCGGAAGUUUUGGUAAGCGAAGGAACAAAACUCACACACUGUGUGUGAGAUGCGGCCGCCGCAGCUUCCACAUCCAGAAGAGCCGUUGCUCCGCCUGUGCUUACCCCGCCGCACGCAUAAGGAAAUGUACGUGUUUAUGUUUCUGCUGUGAUUUUGUCAGUUAUGAAGAGAAUAAAAAAAUACGUUUCAAUUUGUGAAUCGGAAUGGAAGUUGAAGGACAUACUUUUUUAAUUUGGGAAUUGAACUAGGGAAAGCUACUUAAUGAUUAUAAGAGCAGAGGUGGAUAUUUUGACAUUCGACUGUGCACCAAAAGCUCAUAUUAUGGGUAAAGUAAAAACUUUACUAAAUUAUGUGAUUGCACCUAUGGCAAAUGACCUAGAAUUUUCGAAGGACAAUGUUUCUGGAGUAUUUUUGUAUUUGACUAACCGAAAAAUGUAGAUUCACGCACACUAUUAUAGGGCUGUAGGAUUUGUUAAAUUUCAUGAACUGGGGUUUUAGAUUGAAUAAAAUGAAUUUAAGCUUGCUAUCCAGUUGGCAAUAUCUGUUCUUUUCCAACUGGAUUCUUUCCCCUAAAGCAAAAGUGAGCCUGUCAUAAUUUUACCAAUCUAUGUUAUCUUAGCUAAUUUAAUUGCAUAUUUGAUAUUCAUGAUUUGAUAUUUGUUGCCUAUGGAAGUACGGAACAACAGUGAUGAUUCAUACAGACCUGUAAUGAUUUGCGAGCAUGAUCGCAAGCAAUAAUGAACAUCUAAGGGACUGAGUUGUUCACCAUCUUCAUCAAUCCUAUUUUUUGUUUUUGGAAUAUCUUGAAAUAUCAGGGAUGUCUAUAUUUUGGAAUCUAUAUUACAAUGAUACUUAAUAUAAAAUUAUGGAUUGCUUAAAGCUUUAAACAGUUUUUAAAAUAUGCAGUCACUCAUUUGAGAAUGAGAACUCUGUAGGUGGUAACUAAGUAGAAAAUAAACUGAAAAGGGUCAAAAAAAUAAAAAGAACUGUAUAAAAAUUUUUUGACUGUGACUAUCUGGUUGGCAGGAUCGGCGUAUUUCUGACCAACUCCUUCCCUGGAAGUGAGAGUGACUGUGUGCAUCCUUGAGUUGCUUUUAGAAAACGCUGGGACAGCUAUAUUUAUACAGUUACGCUGCUUUUUUCUUUUUAUCUGAUAUAUAAUAUAUAUUUUACUAUUCUUGGCUCAUAAAUUCUCAUGGUGUGUAUAGAACAACUGUGAUGAACUCUACAGACCUGUAAUGAUUUGCGAAUAUGAUCGCAAGUUAAUGAACAUCUAAGGGACUGAGUUGUUUGUCAAUUGUACACGCCAAUCUUAUAUUUUUCUUUUUUGUCUAUAAUAUUUGUGGCAGUUCUGUCUUUAAAAAUACACUUGUGUUUUUUGCACUUUUGCAGAAUUAUCAUUUUGAUGAUUGGUGAUUUAUUUAGUCUUUGUUUGAUGGCCAUUAUUGAGAAAAAAAAUGAUAUUUUGGAUAGUGAUUAUUUGGAGAAUGUGUGGUUAAAAAGUAGAGAAAAGUUUUGUGCUUGCGUGCAAAAUAUUUUAUUGUGUGAAUGUAUUGUUGAAAAUGAAUAUUAGAAUUAAAGAGUUUUGGUUUAAAGGGAGCCAAACAGUGGCUUAAUAUAUUAGCCUUCCGUUCAUAGAUAACUGGAGUGUCAAGGCUAUACGAAGAAAGACCACUGGAACUGGUCGUAUGAGAUAUCUCCGUCAUGUAGCUGUUAGGUUCAAGAGCAACUUCAGAGAAGGUAAAUGGAAUUUGAUUUUCCUUUUCAUCUACAUUUGUUAUUUGAAAGAGUGUCAAGUUUAUAAUGUUGAUUUGCAACGUAUCUCUAACUGCUAGGCACUCAAGCACCUCCAAGAAAGAAGGGCGCAGCUGCUGCCUCCUAAGGUUUUGAAGGAAAUCCCGAGUUUUUUUAGCAUCUAUGUAUCUUUAUUUUUGUGAGAGAAUCGAGUUUUGGUUUAUACAGUGUUGGUUAUCAACCAGUGAAGAUACUUCGGUUAUCAGUAUGCUUUUGGGUGAUGAUUGAGGUCUCAAUGCAAUCACAAAUUGAUUACAACGGAAAAUGUUUGUGUUUUCUAAUGGAUGAUCAAGAGUGUCAUCACAUUAAUUUCACUCUAUUUCAGCCACAUUAUUUUCUAAGAAUGCAUUUAGAAAUAAUAGAUUGAUUGAGAAUGUGUGAUUAAAAAUAAGAAUUUUUUUUGGAUUUGCGUAUAAUAUUAUUUUAUUGAAAACUGUGUGGUUGAAAAUGAGAAAAAUGUAUUGGGUUAUGCAUGAUGUCCAUUAGGGUGUCCACCCUUCUCACAUGGAAGAGGGCUCUUUUCGAAUAAAAUUUGUUAUAUUUGGAGUGGGCCCUCUUCCAUGUUAGGGGAAUGGACACCUUGAUUUACAUUUAUUGAUGUAUAUGUGGAAUAAUCCAAGUGUAUUUUGAAAAAAAUAAAUAAAUAAACAAAAUGGGGGUUCAAACAAUGGACAGUCAAUUUUAUUAGAUAAUAUUGAAAACAAUCUUUAUGAUAUAUUUCUAAAUCUUUAUUGACAUUGCUAUGUGCAAUAACUGAAUAUCAUUGAAGCCUAAGAAAAAAAUUUAAUAGUCCACAAGUAUUUUAGCAAUUACAUUUCGAAUAUCUUCGUUUUUGGUACAAGGAUUUUGUGAUCAUGUAGUAGUAAAUUUGUACAACAAUGAAACUACGUUAAUGGUGCUAAAUUAAUACUCACAUACUUAGUGUUUUUCGUAAGUGAGAAAUAGUGUGUUACUCGCAUGCAUAGUGUUACUCCAUAACAAAGAGGGUAACAAAAUGUGUUACCUUGAUUAAUACUUGGAUAUGCAUUUUAUUUUUAACGUUUUGCUCAAGGAAAGAUUACUUAAGCAAAAAAGAUUACUUGGCAUGUUACAUGUAUGGGAAGGGGUAAUUACUAGCAUGCAUAAAGUGUUAAUCGAAUCAAUCAUGCUACAUUAUCACAAUUAUUGAUAUAAUGUCAUAUAACGCUCUAUCAUUGAAUUGUUUAAAACGCAGUCAUCUUCUUCAUCAAAUCACUUUUUGUCACAUAGAAUUCUGUCAACUCUUAUGUCACAGUUAUAUAAAAAAAAUUUUAAAGGAGCUUAAUCAUAAUCGAAUUCAUGAGAUGGUAAUAUGAUUUUUCUUAUGUAAAUGCAUUGCUACUUGACCUUCACAGACGGGAUAACAUACUGUGUUACUUGCAAUCAUAGAGUGUAGCUUGCACUACUAACGAGAUUACACGAUGUGUUACCAAAGAGUGUUACGAAGUUUUUUUAAAAAAAUAAAAAUAAAAUUGAGGUGAUAAUAAGUAAUAACCACAUGCAGUUUUGACAUAAUAAGCCACGUAACGUUUGAGCAAACACAGGAAAUUCUUAAAUCCAAUAAAUUGUCAAUGAUCCUUAUCAAAUUAAUUACACAAAAGAUUUUGCUAACCUAUUAUGUGUUAUCCAACAUCUUCUAGAAAGAAUAGAUUUUUUGGUACUGAUUCUUUAAUUAUAAUUAUUUUAUUUUAUUAUUAUUAUUAUUUUUUUUCCAAAACUCAUUUUCAAUAGGACCAUUCAUCCUAUAUAAUAAUGUUAUAUGUAAAUCCAAAAAUUUUCUUUCUUUUUAAACAUACAUUCUUUAAAAAAUUUGUUUUUCACAAAAUCUAUUAUAGAAUAAUCUUCAUCAAACAGACAUUGAGCUAUCAACAUGAGAAACUAGACAACUUGCAAAUAACAAAAAAUCUACAUCAAUCCAAAUUUUUUAACUUGGUAUUUGACGUUUGAUGCUACACCUGUAGAAGAAACUUCCAUGUUAAUGUUUUUCUAUUAGUUUUGGUUUGGCUUAAAAUAUUUUGGUUAAGUUUAAAAGUUACUUACAUUUUACUAAAGUGGUUUCUGUCAAUAGACCAUAUCUUUGAAAAUCAUAUUUUAAUAACUUAACCCCUUAUUCGGUCUCCAUUAUUUUUAAAAUAUUUUCUCUUUUAUUUUUAACUAGAAUAAUGCUUGCGAUACACCAAGAUGUCCAACGGGGUAUCCAUCGACACCUCGUAUUGGCCGAGGCGCCGGUGGGCCCCGGCGUGGCAGGCGCCUCGGCCAAUGCCGAGGUGCCAAGUGUCCAUUUUGGACACCCCCUUGGACAUCACAAUGUACCCAUAGUAUGAUUAUUUUAACUACACAUUAUUCAAUAAAAUAAUAUUACAUGCAAAUCCAAAAUUUUUCUUUAUUUUUUAUCCACGCGUUUUCCAUCAAAAUAUUAUUCCAAAAUACAUUAUUUUUAAAAAAUGUGGCUUAAACAAGAAGUAACUAAAUAAAAGUAGGUUAUAUACACAUACUAGGAUGUCCAUAAUGAUGUCCACCCCCUUACAUCGAAGUACUCACUUUAAAUAAUAUAUAAUUUAUUUGAAGAGAAUCUCUCUCUCUGAGGAUAUCAUUAUUAAUACUGCAUUAUGUACAAACAGCGUAUUCCAUUAAAGUAGGUUUGUAAAUAAAAUAUCAGCCCCAGGCCGGAAAAAGGCAAGCUCGGAGGUAGAAGUAGCUUAGCAAUUCAUACAUAGAUGCAUUUCCAGCAAUGACACAGCAGUAUGUCUGAAAAAGGGUAGGGAUUCAUGCUACUACACAAAUGAAAUUACAUAAAAUAAACAGCUAAAUUUAAACCUGUCGGAUAUAGAUAAUUAUAGAGAUAUAUAGUAGUAUAUAUUCAUAUAUAUGAGAACUGAGUAACAAUCUCCACUAAUAUUUAGGAACCCACACGAUGUGAUCCUCAGGGAGGAAAUGGCAGACCGGAACUGUCCCUGGUUUCACCUUCAGCACCUGAAAAGCCAAGUGUUUUGGGUUCCACGCCGCCGUAUCCUUGUGACAAACGGCCACCGCUUUCACCUUGGUGCCGUCGUCCCCCACCAUCGCCACCUUGUA